rnacentral:SRP_RNA from 1 species
GCGCAAUAAGGCUUCAUGAAUCCCGUCAGGUCCGGGAGGAAGCAGCGGUAAGUGAACAACCUUAUGUGCCGCGAGGGUGCCUAAUCCGAGCUAACUACUUGGGUGCCACCCGGAGGUACCAAUUCGAGAGUGGGUGCACGG